rnacentral:tRNA from 1 species
NAAAAANCAUGCAAGAACUGCUAAUUCAUGCUACCACACCUAACAAUGUGGCUUUUUCA